rnacentral:tRNA from 1 species
UCGGUGCGUAGUGGAUGCAGCGCGUCGCGAUCGUCUUCGGAAUAGACGGCGACCGAGGGCGAGCCGAUCGUGGCGGCUGCGCGGGC